ACUUUAAGUCAGACCCACUUUAACUCAAGCUUCUGAUGCCCUCAGAAGAGAAAGAAAGAUCAGUUUCUCAGGCUUAGUCCAUCAUCCACUGCACCUCUGUUCUGCAGGGAUGGGGACCUCUCAGGACUCUGGCUGAAUCAAGUGGGCUAGCGACUCUGUUCUGUUCUGUUAGGAACAACCAGGACGUCAAGGUAUCUCUGCCGGAGACCUUGUUUCCCAUGGAUCUGCUCAACUCACAGCCCAGUGUGCAGGACCUCAGCGCGCUUUGGGAUACUGUUCCCACUGGCAGUGUGGUGUCACUGUACAACUAAAGUCCCUCUCUGCCUUCUCCGAGGAGCCACAUCCAGCUCAGAUACUCUGUGUGCCCUGGCUGAAGCAAACGCCUCAGAGCCCAGGAACCCGGGGGGCCGGGAGGACACGGGGCAAGACCGCCUGUGCGCUGCACCAAGCAAGGACUCCCUUUUAUGUCCAGGAAUGAGGCGCCCCAGCACCCGGGCGCGCAAACGGCGGCUGUGGCUUACCUGUCGCGGCGCGCGUCUGCAGGACGGUGGAAAGCAGCGUGGAGAUGAUGGAGAGCAGCCACCUCGGGCGCCGGCCCUGCGCGGUCCUCCUGCAAGAAGCGGUGGCAGAGAAGGACUUCAUGGGGCCGGAAGUGUAAGAUGCGGUGGGGCUCGUCUGCUGUGCACACACAAGCCCCUUGCAAAGGCACAGGAAAUAAUAUGUGGACAACUUUGAACAAUGCAGUGACAAGAGCCUGGACCCGCUGGGUGGAGGGUUCCAUCUCUCUGUACCUAAGAUCUCCCCAGCCUUCAUCAACAGUGUUCAAUCUGCUGCCAUUAAGUCUCUAUCGCAAGUGAUCUCAUCCCUUCUCCCAGUGUCUCUGUAACAGCGUUCUCAACAACCAUUUUAUCGACAAGUUUGAAAGAUACCCUUCCAGAAAAUGGAGUCCAACUCCUCACCUUGGACAUCCCCCCACACACACACAUCCUGCCUCAGUUUCCUACUUCCUUGGUUUUUGGGACUCUCUGUUCCCACACAGAUAGCCCACUCCAAAAUACUGCCUGUCCUCCUCGUGCACUACCUGUGUAGCCAGGUGUUUGCGCACCCCAAUACCCACUCUCACUCCCACUUCUAGCCUGGAGAACCCUGCCUCAGCCAAGCACCCCUACUUAGUGUCAUCCCACCAACAAGCUAGCAAAGGAAAAGCUUUGCUUCUGCUGUGGCCUCUGUUCUUAGAACCUAUAUGAGAUGAUGCUGGCUGGCAUGGUUCAGACCAUCAGGACAUCCUUAGCUCUUAGCUCAAAGGCUCAGCGCAGCAGCUAGGGCAGGGCUGUGCCCUCAACCCCAUGACAGAGAUGAGGAAGCCAAUAACACUAACCUUCUUGAAGUCAGUUAGUGGAUAAAGGGCAGAACCUUCCGGCUUCCCGUUCAUAUUUCAUUCAUUGUUUCACUGGCCUUCCCAGAAGAGCAACAGAACUGAUCAGGUCCACCUCACUGUCCACACAGCACAAGAAAAGAUUGCUUGGGAGUUUUCCUACCAACAUGCUGGGUCUGACAUGCUAUCUGUGGUUGGAAUAGGCUUAGCCUCCACCCCUCCUACCCCCAUGCCCAAAAGCUGCCUGUGGUCUGUGAGUACCUAGGAAAGAACAGGGUUUCUGGAACUCUAGAAAAACUCAGAAGCACAAAGUGUCUCAGAAAAGACUGUCCCCAGAAACAAAUAAAAUAAAACAUAACUUUUUAUAUUUGUCUCAUUGGGAAAGGCAAGUUUUAAUUACUCAGAAAACUAUCAGAGCAGCCCUUUUGCCAAAAUGCUAACAUGCACAUGUUAUGAGGGAUUUUUUUUUUCUUUGUAAGCCAAAUUUCCUCUCUCAUGUUUGGGGACCUCAUGAAAUGGAACACCUACCUUCUUCAAAAGAUACUUUGAAGCCAUAAAAAUGUUCAUAGGCUUUGACUCAGUAAUCCCUUUCUGGGAAGCUAGCCUAAGAAAAUACCCUGAAAUAUGGCAAAAGCCAUAUGCAGAAAAAUAUCUAUCAAGGAGCUACUCAGUUAAAAACUGGACUCAACCCAAAGAUUCAAUGAAGGGAAAGGAGGGCAGUUAAGUCUAAACCUUGAAGAAAUAUUCUGUAGCCAUUAAAGAUGAGGGGUAUACAAUUUAUGAAGGGUCACAGAAAAUGCUUAUGAUAAAAUAUUAGGUGGAAACGCCUGGAAAAAUAUUGAAAUGCACACAAGUUGUAAAAGCAAUAAGGAAAUGUAGAAAACGUAGUUGUCACAACGUCAAAACAGCGGGCUUAUGGAUUUGUACCUUGUUUUCAAUUUUCCUUCUUGUUAUCUUAUCACCACUUUCCCAUAACAGUUGGAAUUUCUUUAAGAAAAAGCAAUGGAUGUUACUAGUUAUUUCUCCAGGAAAAAUACACCAAUAAUAAAGAUUAGACGUCGGGAGGAAAAGCGUCCUGCCCAUCACUCAUUGUCCUUAGAAGACAUCGAUUUUUCAAAUGAGGUCAAUAAAAAAAACGUAUGCAAAAAAG